GGCGGUGGGAACAUGUGGUUUUAUUCGAGCACGCGAGAACCUUACUGGCUUGACAUGCUGAGAAUAAGAGAGAUGGAUUGGUGCCUUCGGGAACUCAGACAAGGGCUGCAUGGCUGUCGUCAGCUCGUGUCGUGAGAUGUUGGGUUAAGUCCCGUAACGAGCGCAACCCUUGUCCUUAGUUACCAGCACCUCGGGUGGGCACUCUAAGGAGACUGCCGGUGACAACCGGAGGAAGGUGGGGAUGACGUCAGUCAUCUGGCCCUUACGGCCAGGGCUACACACGUGCUACAAUGGUCGGUACAAAGGGUUGCCAAGCCGCGAGUGGAGCUAUUCCAUUAAACCGAUCGUAUUCGGAUCGCAUCUGCACUCGACUGCGUGAAGCGGAUCGCUGUAACGUGAAUCAAAUGUCCCUUUGUUUUUUUUCCGGCCUUGUCCCCCCCCCUUAA
rnacentral:rRNA from 1 species